AAUCUUGCGCAAUGGGCGAAAGCCUGACGCAGCAACGCCUCGUGCGGGAUGACGGCCUUCGUGGUUGUAAACCGCUUUCAGCAGGGCCGAAACUGACGGUACCUAAGGAGGAAGCCCCGGCUAACUACGUGCCAGCAGCCGCGGUAAUACGUAGGGGGCAAGCGUUGUCCGGAAUUAUUGGGCGUAAAGGGUGCGUAGGCGGCCUUUUAAGUCAGGUGUGAAAGCCCACGGCUUAACCGUGGGAUUGCAUUUGAAACUGGAAGGCUUGAGUAUCGGAGAGGGUAGUGGAAUUCCCAGUGUAGCGGUGGAAUGCGUAGAUAUUGGGAGGAACACCAGUGGCGAAGGCGACUACCUGGACGAAAACUGACGCUGAGGCACGAAAGCUAGGGGAGCAAA
rnacentral:rRNA from 1 species